AUUGAACGCUGGCGGCAGGCCUAACACAUGCAAGUCGAACGAGUGGCGGACGGGUGAGUAAUGUCUGGGAAACUGACUGAUGGAGGGGGAUAACUACUGGAAACGGUAGCUAAUACCGCAUACCAUCAGAUGUGCCCAGAUGGGAUGAGCUAGUUGGUAGGGUAACGGCUCACCAAGGCGACGAUCCCUAGCUGGUCUGAUAGGCUGACCAGCCACACUGGAACUGAGACACGGUCCAGACGCCUACGGGAGGCAGCAGUGGGGAAUAUUGCACAAUGGGCGCAAGCAUGAUGCAGCCAUGCCGCGUGUGUGAAGAAGGACUUCGGGUUGUAAAGUACUUUCAGCGGGGAGGCGUUACCCGCAGAAGAAGCACCGGCUAACUCCGUGCCAGCAGCCGCGGUAAUUC
rnacentral:rRNA from 1 species